UACGUAGGGCGCAAGCGUUGUCCGGAAUUAUUGGGCGUAAAGAGCUCGUAGGCGGCUUGUCACGUCGGGUGUGAAAGCCCGGGGCUUAACCCCGGGUCUGCAUUCGAUACGGGCUAGCUAGAGUGUGGUAGGGGAGAUCGGAAUUCCUGGUGUAGCGGUGAAAUGCGCAGAUAUCAGGAGGAACACCGGUGGCGAAGGCGGAUCUCUGGGCCAUUACUGACACUGAAAAGCGAAAGCAUGGGGAGCGAACAGG
rnacentral:rRNA from 1 species